GAUGAACGCUGGCGGCGUGCCUAACACAUGCAAGUCGAGCGAUUCUCUUCGGGGAAGAGCGGCGGACGGGUGAGUAACGCGUGGGUAACCUGCCCUGUACACACGGAUAACAUACCGAAAGGUAUGCUAAUACGAGAUAAUAUGCUUUUAUCGCAUGGUAGAAGUAUCAAAGCUCCGGCGGUACAGGAUGGACCCGCGUCUGAUUAGCUAGUUGGUAAGGUAACGGCUUACCAAGGCGACGAUCAGUAGCCGACCUGAGAGGGUGAUCGGCCACAUUGGAACUGAGACACGGUCCAAACUCCUACGGGAGGCAGCAGAGGGGAAUAUUGCACAAUGGGCGAAAGCCUGAUGCAGCAACGCCGCGUGAGCGAUGAAGGCCUUCGGGUCGUAAAGCUCUGUCCUCAAGGAAGAUAAUGACGGUACUUGAGGAGGAAGCCCCGGCUAACUACGUGCCAGCCGCCGCCGUAA
rnacentral:rRNA from 1 species